CUUUAGUCUUUGGUGCUGUCAGAGGUACCGAGAUAAGCGCUCAGCCAGGCAAGCUUGCAGGAAGGGAGAAAACACUGAUCAGUCGCCACUGCCCGGUCAAGACUCACAUCAUGGAGCCAAGGGCGGCCCAAGUGCGGAGGAGAGAAAGGCUAGGAAGACAGCAGAAGGACCGGCCGUCCAGAGAAGGAGAACCCUGUUCUGGGGGUGCAGAACGCCCAGGUGGCAUCGGAGGAAACGUGGAGAUGCACAGAGGCCCAGAUUUGGUGCAAUGGACCCAGCAUAUGCAGGCUGUCAAGACACAGUUGCUGGAGCAAGCGCAGGGCCAGCUGAUGGAGCUGCUGGAUCAGGCCAUGUGGGAGGCCGUUCAAGCUUACCCACCGCAAGACAGACCAGUGCCCUCCGUCCCUCCAGACUCCUUGCACAAGACCCGGGAGUCGUCCCUGGGGAAACGAAAAGUUUUCAUCAUCCGCAAGUCCCUGCUUGACGAGCUGAUGGAGGUGCCACACUUCCGCACCAUCUACCAUAUGUUUGUCGCCGGCCUGUGUGUCUUCAUCAUCAGCACCCUGGCCAUCGACCUCAUUGAUGAGGGCAGGCUGAUGAUGGAGUUUGAUCUACUGACCUUCAGCUUUGGACAGCUGCCCUUGGCUCUGGUGACGUGGGUCCCCAUGUUCCUGUCCACUCUGCUGGUGCCCUACCAGGCCCUGCGGCUGUGGGAGAGGCCCCAGUCUGGAGGGGCCUGGACCCUGGGGGUGGGCCUGGGCUGCUUGCUGCUGGCUGCCCACACCGUGGUGCUCGGCAUCCUCCCGGUCCACGUGGCAGUGGAGUAUCAGCUCCCGCCAGCCUCCCGCUGUGUCCUAGUCUUUGAGCAGGUCAGGCUCCUGAUGAAAAGCUACUCCUUCCUGAGAGAGACAGUACCUGGGACACUUAGGGCCAGAGGAGGUGAGGGGAUCCGGGCCCCCAGUUUCUCCAGCUACCUCUAUUUCCUCUUCUGCCCCACACUCAUCUAUAGGGAAACUUACCCCAGGGGAGGAACAAGACAAAACGAUGGGAAACACACCGUCUCCAUUCCAUUGCUGCAACAGGACACCCAACGUCAGGUGGAGUUAUGUGGCCAAGAACUUUGCCCAGGCCCUGGGCUGCGUGCUCUACGCCUGUUUCAUCCUGGGCCGCCUCUGUGUUCCUGUCUUUGCCAACAUGAGCCAGGAGCCUUUCAGCACCCGUGCCCUGGUGCUCUCCAUCAUGCAUGCCACCUUGCCAGGCAUGUUUAUGCUGCUGCUCAUCUUCUUUGCCUUCCUUCACUGUUGGCUCAACGCCUUCGCAGAGAUGCUACGAUUUGGAGACAGAAUGUUCUAUCGGGUGGGGCCUGGACCUGGGCUACUUGGGAGCUGGAUGCAAGGAGAGCUAGGGAAGGAUGUAGGGGAGGAUGGUGGCUAUGUUGGUUCUCACCUUGUUACCAAACCAGGUGCAUUUGCCCAAUUCUCACUAAGUCAAACACUGAGAUACCGAGAUUUACAGCAGAGAAACGGUUUCUUCAACAAGGCAGCCAAGUAAGGAGAAGUGAGAACAAGCUCAGAUUUGCUUCCCCAAAGGCCAAGGGCUUGAGAUAUUUACAGGAUAAAGAAUCAAGGAGAUCCUAGGCUUGGGAAAAGUGAUUGGAGGUAGAGAAAAGGUGAGGUAAUCAGUGUUCUGCAAAGGCGUAUCUGAGUUACAUGCUUCUUCAUGGGAUGCAUGUUAAAGAAUGGAGGCACUUGGCAAGAUCGGAGAGUGGAGUUUUUGGCUCUCUGAUGUCAAAAAGUCAUUCAUCCAACAGCUUUACAGGCCCAGUUUUAGGAUCGGUAGUCCUAGCCAAUCUUAGCCCACUUGAACUAGACAGGAGCCAACUUCAAGUUCCUGGAAAAUGUAUGCCUCCUGUUGCCAUAGUGACCCAUACAUCAGAGGUGUUAUCUGUACAGGGAUGGUUAAGGAGUCAAAUUUUAAAAAAAGGCUUUGUCAGUGAAGGCAGGUUACAGCAGAAGAAUUUUUAACAAACUGUUCCCUUACCUGCUAUUCUGUAAGACAAGCUCAAGAAUUUCUGUUAGUCACCAGUUUCUGUUAAUCCCAAGGGGCACGAUUCCAUCUCAGCUGUGCUGGCAGUCUCCCGCAGUGAGAAAUGUGCUCCUCUGGGACUGGUGGAACUCAACAUCCUUCUCCAACUACUACCGCACAUGGAACGUGGUGGUCCAUGACUGGCUGUACAGCUACGUGUAUCAAGAUGGGCUUUGGGGCAUGUCUCCCCUCCUUAGCCUUCUAAGGAACAUGCAUAGAGCAAUUUUCAGUUACCAAGAAUUUUCCCACACUAUAUAAUCUGCACUGGAAGCCUGAGAACUCCUUGGUGGCCGGGCCCGAGGCGCAGCCAUGCUGGGCGUGUUCCUGGUCUCAGCAGUGGUCCAUGAGUACAUCUUCUGCUUCGUCCUGGGAUUCUUCUACCCCGUCAUGCUGUUGCUCUUCCUUGUCUUUGGAG